AAGGAAUCAUCCCCGAUGAACUCGAUGAACUCGAUCAUGGCGUUAAGACGGGUAGCACUCUUGGUUUGUGCGGAUUCAUAAAUAAUGAGAUCUAGGGAACGAGACAAGGAACGUUCCUCUUGUUGCUUAUAGACGACCAGAAGAAGAAGAAGAAGAAGAAGAAGCAAACCUUAAAAGAAAAAGAAGAAGAGAAAGGCAAACGUGGCCAGGUGGUUCUCGUUUAAACCGAGGGAUUCAUAAACAAUGAAGGAACGUAAAUCGGUCUGGAGCUUCCUGUUGGAAAGGCGUACUCUCUUCUAUAUACAUAGAAGACUAUAUAUAUAUUCACAUCUUGGAUCUCUCCUUUCCUUCGAAGGUACUCGUUGUUGGUCAGCACUAACCAUCAAGCAAGUAACCAACCAACCAACCAACUACUACUACCACCAAGUGGAUCAUUUUUCCAGCUCGUUUGGUCGAUCCUAUAAAUCAUUGGAUCACCGUUGGAAUUUACAACUGAUGUUGAAGAAGUUGCUCAGAUUUCUUUCGCGCGUUAAGAUUGAGAGUUGCACGCGCAUGCGUCAGAUAAUACGCAUGCGAACGUGAGAUAAAAGACUAUUGCGCAUGCGCGAAUCUAUCAGCUGACAGGAGUUCAAGUUACUUUGCAGUGAUUUUACAUAUUAUUCAUUGUUAAUAAUUAUUUAUUCAUAUAUAUAUUAUUAAUUAAUUGUUUUUACCGUUGUACAGUGAAUAUUUAUCAGUGAAAAACUAUUUCUUUCGUGCAUUUAUUAGAAGAUAAGAUUGAAAGUUGCUCGCGCAUGCGUAAGAUAGCACGACUGGGAACGUGAGAAAGAAACCUACUGCGCAUGCGUCAAUCUAUCAGCUGUCAAGAGUUCAAGUGAAUAAUUAUCCGUGACAAGACUUGUAUGAAAGUGAAAAAAUCUUCAAAAGUGUUUUUCAUUGUUUAAGAUCAUUUUUCAUAAUUCGGAUUUUAAUUGAAAACUGCAUCCUAAUGCUGCAUCAUAAUAUCUUAAGAAACACACAAGUGCAACUGCAAUUGCAACAGCAAAGUCUUCUGGUGUGGCUGAAUCGAAAGAAAAUUCUCUUUCUUUUUUUCAUUUCCUAUUUUUUUUUUUACUUGUUGAUCAAUGCAAAUGUAGUCGCCAGAAAUAGGAGGAAUAAGAUGAGAAGAAACGUAGGAGGAGGAGGAGGAGUAGGAGGAGAUGGAGGUGGUUGAGAGGAGACAGGUAGAGUUAACGGCAAGAGGAAGAAGAAGAAGAAGAAGAAGAAGAUUUAAAAAAAAAGAAGAAGAAGAAGAAACAAAAUAAAACCAUGCUGAGAAGGAACUGGAUGUACCGCUCAAGGACACGAUCUACCUCAACAGCCAGUCUCGUAACGAGGAUGUUGUGGAAGAGGAGGUGGAGAGGAGGUUGGAACUUGCCAGACGAGGAAUGAACAAGAAGAAGAAGAAGAAGAAGAAGAAAUAAUCGAAAAAUAAGUCAAAGAAGUAAACCCUCAUCGUUCACGUUCACGUUUACAUUUACGUUUACGUUUACGUUUACGUUUACGUUUAUGUUCACAAAAGCCAGAAAAAGGAAAAGGGAUUGAAUUCUAGGGAUCGUUCGUUCGUGCUUUAGAAACGUCGUGGGAUAUCGAAUGAAGGAAUGAGUGAAUAAAAAGAAGAAGAGGAAGAGGAGGAGGAAGAGGAGGAGGAGGAUUCCUUUGUUCGUUUGGUACGUGCUCGAUAAAUUAAGGGCUUGGUGGAAGGACUGGAAGGGACUGAAAGAAGACUGGAAGGACUGGAAGGAUGUAAAACUAUUCAAAAAGGGUUGGAAUUUGAAUGGAAGGUAGGAAAGUUGAUGAUGCUGGUACUAUUGCUGCUGCUGCUGAUGAUGAUGAUGAUGAUGAUGAUGCUGUUGUUGUUGCUGGUUACUGUUGCUGGUUACUGCUGAUGUUGCUGAUGUUACUACUAACAUAAGAUUGCUUGCUCGUUGCCUAGAGGCACAUAAAUGCAAAAUACUUAAAAGCAAUUACCGAUAAUCAUCACGGCACCUUGCAGCAGCGUUACGUUGCAUUCUCAGAAAUGUACGAUGUUUUUACCCAUAAUUUUGUAGAACGUAACAAGUAAUGUAAUGUAACAACGACAGAUAACAACAAUAAUAAUAAAUUAACCAAAAAAAAAAAUAUAUAUAUAUAUAUA